GACGGAAGGUGCAAGCGUUGCUCGGAAUCACUGGGCGUAAAGGGUGCGUAGGUGGCGAGGUAAGUCGGAUGUGAAAGCUCGGAGCUCAACUCCGAAAUGGCAUUGGAAACUACCUUGCUCGAGGGUUGGAGGGGGGACUGGAAUACUUGGUGUAGCAGUGAAAUGCGUAGAUAUCAAGUGGAACACCAGUGGCGAAGGCGAGUCCCUGGACAACUCCUGACACUGAGGCACGAAAGCUAGGGGAGCAAACAGG
rnacentral:rRNA from 1 species